rnacentral:rRNA from 1 species
CAGCAGCCGCGGGAAUACAGAGGGUGCGAGCGUUAAUCGGAUUUACUGGGCGUAAAGCGUGCGUAGGCGGCUUUUUAAGUCGGAUGUGAAAUCCCUGAGCUUAACUUAGGAAUUGCAUUCGAUACUGGGAAGCUAGAGUAUGGGAGAGGAUGGUAGAAUUCCAGGUGUAGCGGUGAAAUGCGUAGAGAUCUGGAGGAAUACCGAUGGCGAAGGCAGCCAUCUGGCCUAACACUGACGCUGAGGUACGAAAGCAUGGGGAGCAAACAGGAUUAGAUACCCGUGUAGUCCCUGUCUCUUAUAA